ensembl:lncRNA
CCCGAGGUGAGCACUGAGUCAGCUGCAGGACCACAGGUGAAGGCAAUUCAACUGUGACCGGAAGGGGUGGAGCCUGGCUCCACCUCUUCUAGAUCCCAUUUAAGGGCUGUCUGCCACUGGGAAAGGAUCUCUUUCUGGGAUUGCUCCUCUUAGAGUUUUUCCUGUGAGCAUACAACACAGUUAUAAAUCAGCCCUGUGGACUGUCUCAUCAUGUAAUCCUGCCAGCUCAACUCUGACUAUAGCCAAGGAUGAAGAAGGCAAGAGGACCCUACUGCACAGAAUGGAGAAAUCUUAUGAAGAGAAGACAACUUUUGUCCCAGUUUUGGUUCUCCAAAGUGGACUGGCUGUGUCAUGCCAGGCCCUGAAACUCUCCUAGAACCCUGGGAUAAAGCUUGUGAGGACCAGCAAAUCUAAUUUGAAUUUUCU